UCAUGACCUGAGCGGAAAUCAAGAGUCAGAUGCUCAACCGACUGAGCCACCCAGGCGCCCCUCACCUGACAGGUCUUGAAGUUGGGAUUCACUGUGGUCUCCACCAUGCCUUUAUGAAGAAACAAGUGAUCCUUCAGCUGGAGGAGAAUGCAAAGAAUUGAAGCUGAGCUAAAAUAUCACUCAGAGACUCGCUGAGCUUCAAAGACCUUAUUUCCCCUGGGGUAAUUCGCUGAGCCUUAGCCCUCAAGUUACCAGCUUUCCUCUCCCCCACAUGGGUCUGCCUUGUUUGGGGACAAUAGGACACAGAGGGCACUGGGAACAACUUUAAAUUCUGCUUCUUGUCUACCUCCCAGGAAUGCCAACGUCUGGUCCUCCUGGAGAUGGGUAAAAUUAAUACUUUUAUAUUCAAGGGCUGCUUACAAUGACUACAGACCCUAUUAACUGUUCUUAUAACAUCAAAGUAUGUAGCACGGAUAUAACUAGAAAUGAAUGUUCUAUACAUGUAUAAUAUAGGUGAUUUUUACAGAAUAGUGUUAUUUAUUUUAACAACCAGGCCACCUUAACAUAAUAGAGAUCUUAUUUUACGAAGACUCCACAUAGCUUUCUCCUCAGGUCACCAGGAAAGAGUGAAAAGAGAGCCACAUUUGGAUUCCUGCUUCGUCACUACAAAAAUGAUCCUUACAAGGCAUCUAGAAGCAGCAGCAUUUGUAAUAGCCAAAACUAAAAAUAAUUUAUGCAACCUUCAACAGUGAUACAGUCACACGAAUGGAAUGUUACACAGCAAUGACAGUGGAGGAACAACAUGGUGAGUGAAUCUCACAAAUACAAUUUUUUUCUUUUUUUAAAUGUUUAUUUUUAUUUUAUUUAUUUACUUCCUUAUUUAUUUUUUAAAUUUAU